rnacentral:rRNA from 1 species
AUAUAGCGCACACAGGUGGUGCAUGGUUGUCGUCAGCUCGUGUCGUGAGAUGUUGGGUUAAGUCCCGCAACGAGCGCAACCCUUAUCGCAUGUUACCAACAGUAAGAUGGGGACUCAUGUGAGACUGCCGGUGACAAACCGGAGGAAGGCGGGGAUGACGUCAAAUCAUCAUGCCCCUUAUGGCCUGGGCGACACACGUACUACAAUGGCGACUACAGAGAGAAGCGAGACUGAGAAGUUAAGCGGAACCCAAAAAAGUCGUCCCAGUUCGGAUUGAAGUCUGCAACUCGACUUCAUGAAGCCGGAAUCGCUAGUAAUCGCGGAUCAGCAUGCCGCGGUGAAUACGUUCUCGGGCCUUGUACACACCGCCCGUCAAACCAUGGGAGUCGGUAAUGCCCGAAGCCGGUGGCACAACCUUUAAAGGAGUGAGCCGUCGAAGGCAGGACUGAUGACUGGGGUUAAGUCGUAACAAGGUAUCCCUACGGGAACGUGCGGCUGGAUCACCUCCUUAAUCACUAGUGA